rnacentral:rRNA from 1 species
AACGAACGCUGGCGGCAUGCCUAACACAUGCAAGUCGAACGUGACCUUCGGGUCUAGUGGCGCACGGGUGCGUAACGCGUGGGAACCUGCCUUUGGGUUCGGAAUAACUCAGAGAAAUUUGAGCUAAUACCGGAUGAUGGCUUCGGACCAAAGAUUUAUCGCCUUUAGAUGGGCCCGCGUUGGAUUAGCUAGUUGGUAGGGUAAAGGCUUACCAAGGCGACGAUUCAUAGAUGGUCUGAGAGGAUGCUCAGCCACACUGGGACUGAGACACGGCCCAGACUCCUACGGGAAGCAGCAGUGGGGAAUAUUGGACAAUGGGCGAAAGCCUGAUCCAGCAAGGCCGCGUGAGUGAUGAAGGCCUUAGGGUUGUAAAGCUCUUUUACCCGAGAUGAUAAUGACAGUACCGGGAGAAUAAGCUCCGGCUAACUCCGUG